AUGUGGGCAAUCUGUCUUUAAGUAGGGAUAAAUUACUCCAAAAAAAAUAAUGAAUCCCAGAUAGUUUUCCCUUCAAGUCAAGCAUCUUGU
rnacentral:pre_miRNA from 1 species